rnacentral:rRNA from 1 species
UACGAAGGGGGCUAGCGUUGUUCGGAAUUACUGGGCGUAAAGCGCACGUAGGCGGUUUUCCAAGUUGGAGGUGAAAUCCCUGGGCUUAACCCAGGAACUGCCCCCAAAACUGGAUGACUCGAGUCCGAGAGAGGUGAGUGGAAUUUCCAGUGUAGAGGUGAAAUUCGUAGAUAUUGGAAAGAACACCAGAGGCGAAGGCGGCUCACUGGACUCUAACUGACGCUGAGGCGCGAAAGCAUGGGGAGCAAACAGG